GCGUCCUAUCAUGUAGUUGGUGAGGUAAUAGCCUACCAAGCCAAUGACGGGUAGCCGGUGUGAGAGCACGACCGGCCACAAGGUCACUGAAACACGGGGCCUACACCUACGGGUGGCGAGCAACCGGGAAUAUUGCGCAAUGGGCGAAAGCCUGACGCAGCGACACCGCGUGUGGGAAGAAGCUUUUCGGAGUGUAAACCACUGUGGCAAGGGAAGAAUUUUUGACGGUACCUUGCUAGAAAGCACCUGCUAACUACGUGCCAGAAGCCUCGGUAAUACGUAGGGUGCAAGCGUUAUCCGGAUUUAUUGGGCGUAAAGAGUUCCGCAGGCGUCUUUACAAGUUUCUUGUUUAAGCCUGAGGCUCAACUUCAGAAAAGCAAGAAAAACUGUAAAGAUUGAGUUUGUCUGGGGAAGCUGGAAUUCUCGGUGGAGGGGUGAAAUCCGUAGAUAUCGAGAGGAACACCAAAAUCGCGAAGGCAAGCUUCUAAAAACAAUACUGACGCUAAGGGACGAAAGCUUGGGUAGCAAAAGGGAUUAGAGACCCCUGUAGUCCAAGCCGUAAACUUUCCUCGCUAGUUGCCUGGUUAAUAAUGCAUAGUAGCUAUAAAUAAUACUAUUCAUAUAUACUGGUUGACGUAAGCUAACGCGUUAAACGGGGCGCCUGGGGAGUACAACCGCAAGGUUAAAACUCAAAGGAAUUGACGGGGGAGCGCACAACCGGUGGAGCAUGUGGUUUAAUUCGAUACAAAGCGAAAAACCUUACCUGGGUUUGACAUAUACCUGCACGUUCUAUGAAAAUAGAAUUUCUUCGAGAGUGGUAUACAGGUGAUGCAUGGCUGUCGUCAGCUCGUGUCGUGAGACGUCCGCUUAAGUGCGGUAACGAGCGCAACCCUUGUCGUCAGUUAUACGUAUCUGACGAGACUGCCCUGCUGCUAGCAGGGAGGAAGGAGAGGACGACGUCAAGUCAGCAUGUCCCUUACAUCCAGGGCUACACACAUCCUACAAUGGGACUGACAACGGGUAGCGACAGGGCAACCUUGAGCUAAUCCUUAUAAACUGUCCCUCGGUUCAGAUUGCGGGCUGCAAUUCGCCCGCAUGAAGUCGGAAUCGGUAGUAAUCGCAAAUCAGC
rnacentral:rRNA from 1 species